UAAUGAUACGGUUUUUCAAGGUUUUCCUUUUUUGACAAAAAAGACGAAGAAACGCUAUGCUGAUGGUUUGAUAAGCAGCACAGGCAGAGAACGAGGGAACAUUGAGAAUGAGGAGAAGACGAGAACGGUGUUCGAAUUAGGC
ensembl:ncRNA K01B6.9 ncRNA